CAUGUUGAAGUCACAAUUGUGGACAAACAUGAUCAAUUUGAAGAUACCUUCACAAUACCUGUAGAAAAGGAACCUUUAUACAAGACAGGGAGAGCACUUUGCACUUUCGAUGAAAUUGAUGUAUAAAAGAUAACAAAGUCUUCAUCAGACAUGUCAAGAUGAUAUUUGAUUAUGAUUUUUCAAAAGUUUUUCAAGGUACAUGAUAUUCAUCUUGUAUUAUUAUACUUAAUCAAUUCAUAAUUCCAUUUGUGAAUUAAUUAUGAUUGUUCAUGUAUGUUCAUAAUCAUGUGUUGUUUGUUUGAUCUGAAACAUUUGUGUUGUAUUAUAAGUUUAUGUUUGAUUAUUAUGUUCACUUAUGUAUAAAAUACGUUACUCUUGCCAAAAAUCUUAUAAAAAUUCAGACAAAUUUUAGUCCAACCAUGUAUACUCUCUCCCCUUUUAAAAUAAAAAGAGCCCCACAUCCCUUGUGAAACCCUCGUAGCCUUCAAUCUCAAUCCCUUAAGGAAAGGAAAGUAAUGCUCCCAACACUCUCCCUUUCCCAUCUUCUCCAAAUUUUCUCCAAACUCUAUUAGAAGCUUCAAACUUUCUUCAUCUUUAACAAUGGCAUCUCAAAGAAAGGGAAAAGGAAAGGCUUCUUUAUCAAGCUCUAAACUUCCAACUAUGGGUUUCUCAAGGCUCCUCAGUCCUCACCACCACUCAACAAAGAGAAAGAUUCAUUGCAUUCUUCCAUGAAAAUAAGCUUAUAUCUCUAACAUAUGUUAACCUUCACACUUUUUAUUCAAGAUGCUUUAUUUUUCCUGCAUUGUUGAGAAAUCGGAAAAUAGAAGGAUUGAUUAUGGAUGUUGUUUCAUUCUAUCCCGAUUAGUGAAAGUCUUUUAUACGACUAUUACAAAUGUUGAAAUGAAAUUGUUGUUGGUUGUCAAGAAUCAAAUUCUAGAUGUUAUUUCACAAUGAAAAAUAUGUUGGUUUACGUUAUGCAAGGAUUUUAACAAAUAUUUUCAAGUACUGCAAUGUGGAUACUACCAUUGAACUUCACUCCAAAGUGUCGUACACAGAUUUGUAGACUACAAGAGAUAUUAUCAAUAAUAAAAUGGGAGUUAUUUAUAACAAGCUUGAAGGAACCUUCUAUUACUUAGAUGAAGAGUUGGCUGAACCUUGUGCUCCUCCUCGCUCCUCAACCAAUGGAAGAUGUUGGAUCAACCAAUCAAAUGAUUAUGGACUACAUGGUUUAACAAUUUGAGAAUAUCGGUCAAUAAUUCGGUAGCAUCCAUCAUGAGUUGGCUGAAUUUCGGGUAGGAUGGAUCGUUUGGAAGUUUUUCAGAGAUGAGAUGAGAAUAAUAAUGAUAUGAAUGCAGAAUGAUCUUUGAACAAGAUUUUUUGAUUUUUAAUUUAUUUCAGUUUUCUUGUUAAGACAUGAUUUUGGCUAUGUAUCAGUUUAGACUUAUUUUGUUUUUUCUAUGUUAUGCAUGUUUGGAUGUUUGUGGUUAAUUUUAAUAUAUUUGGUUUUUAGUAUAUUUUUUGUGUGCUUGAUGAAUGGUUAUAUGUUAUGUGUGUAUUUUCCUAUGCUUGAAUUUCUACUAUUUCUCCAUCUUUCCUUUUUUUUUAAUAAUAUUAAAAGGGGGAGAAGGAUGUAAGUUUGUGUUUUUUCCUUGUUCAUAGUUCAUAUAAGGUACUCAAUUGAUACAAAGAUCUAAAAUAACUCAAGUAUUCAUCAUUUAAGGGUGAGUCAUCAAUCUUAGGGGGUCUUUUCAAGAAAAUACAAACAUCAUGUACAUAUUUUUCAUCAUUAGAUUGUGAAGACAAACUUUUGAUAUAAUAAUGUUUUGAUGAAGACAAAUGUAUUUAAAGAAUGAAAAGAUAGCUCAUGAUUGAAGAAUUCUCAAGAAAAGGAUGAUCAAGCUCAU
rnacentral:lncRNA from 1 species